AGGACUGUCUGUAACCAAGUCUGUACCAUCUGCAGCCAAUGAGACAGCUGCAGUAGAAGAUAUGGAGGUGAAUGCAGCUGAAAUCAAGCAGGACUCACAGAAGACUGG